UAUAAGUAGGCGGAGGAGAAGAGCAUUAAAUAAGAGUCCCUUAGUAGUGGCGAACGAACAGGGAUUGGCUCACCCUAAGAAUCAGGGCCUCAGGUCAUGAAUUGUAGUCUCUAGAUGUGUUGCCAUCAGGGGUGCUGGUGCAAGCCUCUUGAGAAAGAGCAUUCGCAAGGGUGACAAUCCCGUGAGUUAUUGGUAAUCCUCUGGGCAUGGCAUGCAAUCUAAGAGUCACGUUCCUUGAAAAUGGAGUGCAAAAUUGGUGGUAAAUGUCAUCUCAAGCUAAGCAGGGCCUUGAGACCGAUAGGGAACAAGUACCAUGAGGGAAAGAUGAAAAGGACUUUGGAAGGAGAGUUAAAAGUGCCUGAAGUUGCUGAAUGUGAAGCAAACUGAACUAUUGCUGCUUGGCGAGACUGUCAUGCGCUGAUGUGAUGGCUUAUUGAGGCAAUGCAAAUUCCUCAAGAGGUUGUAUCUGAAAGCGCACAAUGUUUCUUGCCCUGCGUGUCAUCUGCAGAUCUGCACUGAGCAUGACGCCAUUCACAUGAACAUCGCUUAUAAGUGAUUGAAAGUGGUGGUAGGAGCUCGUUGCCGUUCUGUUGCUUGGCUGUGCUCUUCGGGCACGCUUGGGAUGACCAAAUGUUUUCUAUUUGACCCGUCUUG
rnacentral:rRNA from 1 species